rnacentral:lncRNA from 1 species
GUAAGUAGAUUCUGGCUACCAAAAACUGAGUUUAGCUAGUGUGAACUGAAUUUCUGAGGGACCCACCUGACAUAUUGAACCUUUGCACAGUUGACAAUUAUUCCCUGGAUUGCCCCCAAGAUGCGGCACUUCCUGAAAUUUGGCUCAAAACAACUUAUUCCUCGCUUCUCUACAAAUGUUGAAAAUGUCUGAGGUCCCAGCAACAUCCUGGGAAGGCUGUGUGGCUGAUUGAGAAAUGACUCUAUCAGUGCUUCCCAAUCAGGGCUCGAUGGCACAGCAUGGCAUCACAGGUGCACACAAUGUAAGGGAAGUCAGCAGCCAUGUCGUGAGGACACUCAAGCAGCCCUAUGAAGAGGUUCAUAUAAGAAGGAGCUGAGACCUCCUGCCAACAGCCAACACCAAUGUGCCAACCAUGAGAGUGAGCCAACUUGAAGUGACUCCUCCAGUCCCAGUCAAGUCUUCAGAUGACUACAGCCCUGGCUGACACCUUGAUUGCAACCUCAUGAGAAACCCCAAGCCAGAACCAUCUAACCAAGCUGCUCUUGAGUUCCUGAUUCACAGAAACUGUAUGAGAUCAUAAAUGUUUAUUGUUGUUUUAAGCCAAGAAGUUUUGGUAUUUUGUUAUGCAGCAAUAGAUGAAAGCAGACAUUGUAAGAAACAACCCUAAUAUACUAUUUGCUGCAAUAACGAUAACAUUGUUUAUUAGGGGUAUUGUCUGUGAGUUUUGGCAACUUACUUCAUCUUGCUACGCUUCAGUUUCCUCAUCUCUCAAAAGGGACUAAUUAAUAGUAUCCAUCUUUCACAAUGUUUAUAGCAUUAACUGAAAUAAUAGAUGUAGAUAUCUUAGAGAAUAAAAUGGAAUCAUAGAUAGCCCAUAGUAGAAACUCAAUAAAUAUCAUCCAUCAUUAUUAUUUGCUUUUAUUUUUAUGACUAUCAUUUUUAAAUUUUAAUUUUAACCAAAUCUGCUUCUCCUCCCAUUUUCAAAAAUCAGAAACACAAUGAUCCAGGCAGUCAAAAUACCAGAAACCUAAAUAUUAUCCUUGACUGAAUUUAUGCUCAUUCUUUACAUCCAAUCAAUCAUGUUCUAAUGAUUGUAUUCACUAAGUAC